UGGGGAAUAUUGCACAAUGGGCGAAAGCCUGAUGCAGCAACGCCGCGUGAGUGAUGAAGGCCUUCGGGUUGUAAAGCUCUGUCUUCUGGGACGAUAAUGACGGUACCAGAGGAGGAAGCCACGGCUAACUCCGUGCCAGCAGCCGCGGUAAUACGGAGGGUGCAAGCGUUGUUCGGAUUUAUUGGGCGUAAAGCGCGUGUAGGCGGUUUGUUAAGUCUGAUGUGAAAGCCCCGGGCUCAACCUGGGAAGUGCAUUGGAAACUGGCAGACUUGAAUACGGGAGAGGCUAGUGGAAUUCCUAGUGUAGGAGUGAAAUCCGUAGAUAUUAGGAGGAACACCGGUGGCGAAGGCGGCUACCUGGACCGAUAUUGACGCUGAGACGCGAAAGCGUGGGGAGCAAAC
rnacentral:rRNA from 1 species